CGAGAAAAGCCUCUAGAUAGAAAAUAGGUGCCCGUACCGCAAACCGACACAGGUAGUCAAGAUGAGAAUUCUAAGGUGAGCGAGCGAACUCUCGUUAAGGAACUCGGCAAAAUGACCCCGUAACUUCGGGAGAAGGGGUGCUCUUUAGGGUUAACGCCCAGAAGAGCCGCAGUGAAUAGGCCCAAGCGACUGUUUAUCAAAAACACAGGUCUCUGCUAAACCGUAAGGUGAUGUAUAGGGGCUGACGCCUGCCCGGUGCUGGAAGGUUAAGAGGAGUGGUUAGCUUCUGCGAAGCUACGAAUCGAAGCCCCAGUAAACGGCGGCCGUAACUAUAACGGUCCUAAGGUAGCGAAAUUCCUUGUCGGGUAAGUUCCGACCCGCACGAAAGGCGUAACGAUUUGGGCACUGUCUCAACGAGAGACUCGGUGAAAUCAUAGUACCUGUGAAGAUGCAGGUUACCCGCGACAGGACGGAAAGACCCCGUGGAGCUUUACUGUAGCCUGAUAUUGAAAUUCGGCACAGCUUGUACAGGAUAGGUAGGAGCCUUUGAAACGUGAGCGCUAGCUUACGUGGAGGCGCUGGUGGG
rnacentral:rRNA from 1 species